AAGAGUGGGGUCUGAAGGCCUUAACCAGGUUUAAGAACUGAGAUGAAGAGCAGCAGCCUUUUGGAUACAAAUCUACAGAGUUGAUAUUCCAUAGCUUCUCUGGGGUACAAGAUGAUACUAAAAAAAGCACAAACCCUAUGCCUGACUGCCUGUGUUGAAGCAAAAAUUGGGUAGCAUCAAAACUUGCUUUGAACUGCCUGAAAGCGACCUUGGAACUAAGAGAUCCUAAGGAGUUGGUGGUUUGAUUCCAGAUUGCAUUACAGUAAUUUAAGGAGGCCAUCUACUGCCUUUGAUGAAGGAUCUGUUGCUUAUGGAGAUGAAGCCACAUGAAAAAAUAUCACUAUGCUCUUCUGGGUGAGAAAAUCAUUAGUGAACACUUCAAAUCAGGGCAGAGACAACUGUUAAAGCACACUUGUUAGAAAGAGAGGAAUGACUGCUGACCCACCGGAAGCCCUGGCAUCACGAUGUGUUAACACUUGGCCUACUCAUGUUUUCUGACUGAAGAGACAACAAUUUAUGUAAACCAAAAUCACAACUAAAAAGCAAUCAAUACUUUAUCUCAAGGUGUAAUUUUAAUUCCUAGUUAAAUGUUUUGGUGGAAAAUUACUGCUGUGUGGGAAGAAACAGUGAC